UACGUAGGGGGCAAGCGUUAUCCGGAUUUACUGGGUGUAAAGGGAGCGUAGACGGCGAUGCAAGCCAGAUGUGAAAGCCCGGGGCUCAACCCCGGGACUGCAUUUGGAACUGUAUAGCUAGAGUGUCGGAGAGGCAGGCGGAAUUCCUAGUGUAGCGGUGAAAUGCAUAGAUAUCACGCAGAACUCCGAUUGCGAAGGCAGCAUACCGGCGCCCUACUGACGCUGAGGCACGAAAGCGUGGGUAUCGAACAGG
rnacentral:rRNA from 1 species